ensembl:lncRNA
GUGCAGCUUGUGGGAUCUUAGUGCUUUGAGUAAGGAUUGAACCCUGGCCCCGGGCAUUGGAAGACUGAAAUUCUAACCGCUAGACCACCAGGGAAUUCCUUCCAGCACAUGUUUGUCACUGAAGUUUCUUCCUUUUGACCACUUUAACAUCUUCCACUCAGUCCUCAUCCCCACCUCUGGCAACCGCCAAUCUGUCCUCUGAGUUGUUUUUAAGUUAUUUAAAACAUUUUUUUAGAUUCCACACAUGAGAUCAUCCUGUGUUUGUCUUUCUCUGAGUUAUCUCAUUUAGCACAGUGCCAAGGUCCAUUCCUUUUAUUGCAAAUGGCAGGAUUUCUGGUCUAUUUUGACCCCACUUUCUCAGAGAGCAGAGGAAAAAACUCCAGAACUAUUCUGGGGGACCUAUGUUCCCCCAGGUGACCUCGUCUUUGCCAUACAGAUGGAGGCUGAAGAGGGGGUCUGAAGGGAACGGGGGCAGCAGCUGUGGAGAGCGGCAGUGAGUCAUCCCGAGGCAAGCUCUACCACGUGACCUCAGUCACAGGCACCCAGCACAUGCUGAGCCGGGCGCUGGCAGCAUGGUCUCAUGCCCUUCCCCAGCAAAACACUGCUGUGAGCAGAGGAAGUUCCCCAUGCUGAGGACCAGAGGAGAAGAGCAGAAAGUGUGAUUACAGACCAUCUCUGGAGAUGGCAGAGAUGUCAUGGGAAUGGCCUCCCAGGCAUUGUCAGAAUUAGCCAGAAGUGCUCAACCACCAGCUCAACAGAAACAUAUGGGAUGACAAGGUUGACCUUUUCUGACCCCUGGUGACUUCGAUCAACUGAAGCCUGUCCUCUGUUAACCUUUGCCGUAAUCCAGGCAGAAUUCUCCUCCUCUCAAGCCCCUUCAUGCAUAUGCAUAUACCCUCAGUUUAAAACUUCCAAUAAAAAAUUUAAAAAUUACUCUUUUUUAACUUAAACACAAAACAAAACAAACAAAAAAACUUGCCCGAUUUUGCCGUUUGGGGAGACACAGCUUUGGGAAAGAUCUCCGGUGUUCUCCUUAUUUGCUGCAAGUAAUAAAUCCUUCCUUCUGCUCUUUGA